UACGGGGGGUGCGAGCGUUGUCCGGAAUCACUGGGCGUAAAGGGCGCGUAGGUGGUUUGAUAAGGGUGUGGUGAAAGUCCGGAGCUCAACUCCGGAUCUGCCGUGCCGACUGUCAAACUCGAGGGCUGUAGAGGCAGGCGGAAUUCCGGGUGUAGCGGUGGAAUGCGUAGAUAUGGAAGGAACACCGGUGGCGAAGGCGGCUCACUGGCCCGGUACUGACGCUGAGGUGCGAAAGCGUGGGGAGCAAACAGG
rnacentral:rRNA from 1 species